AUACGGAAGGUCCGGGCGUUAUCCGGAUUUAUUGGGUUUAAAGGGAGCGUAGGCGGGAGCUUAAGCGUGUUGUGAAAAGUCGGGGCUCAACCCCGUCCGUGCAGCGCGAACUGGGUUUCUUGAGUGCGCGGGAGGCACGCGGAAUUCGUGGUGUAGCGGUGAAAUUCUUAGAUAUCACGAAGAACUCCGAUUGCGAAGGCAGCGGUCCGUAGCGUUACUGACGCUGAAGCUCGAAGGUGCGGGGAUCGAACAGGAUUAGAUGCCCUGGUAGUCCGCACGGUAAACGAUGGAUGCCCGCUGUCCGCGCAUUGCCGCGGGUGGCCAAGCGAAAGCGUUAAGCAUCCCACCUGGGGAGUACGCCGGCAACGGUGAAACUCAAAUGAAUUGACGGGG
rnacentral:rRNA from 1 species